GGACAAAACUCCAAACAAACCUCCAAACCCUUGAAAGGAGGCAGUGAGUUUCUUAGCAACCUGGUCUAUGUUUGAGAUCAAAGCUCACCAUGGUCUAGGACCUGAGCAGAAAGCAAGGUGAAAGAAAGCUGAAAGUGUUCCUUUCUGUCCCAGUGACAACAACCCUCCAAUGUCCUUUCCCAAGACAGAAGAUAAAGAUUCUUUCUAGGACCAAAACUACCAUGGUUUCCUGUGGUGCAAAGACAAUCAGUCAGUGCUAAGAGAUGGUGUUAAUCCCACCCAUCAUGGAUUUACUCUUCAGAUACUUCUCUGAAGGAGAGAGUCAUCAUAUAUGCACAUGCAUAUUAUGUAUAUUUGCCCUUUCCAGGGGCUGUUGUCAGUAGCAGCAGCAGAAGUUCUGCACUCUUUCAGCCUGAACUUUGCACAGGUAGGAGGAGGGUGAUCUUGGACAACAUGGAGUACAUCCAGAGGCCUCUGAGACUACUGCUGGGAUCAGGGAGUUAAAACUGGCAUGGCCUCGAAGAAGGUGAAAACCCCAGAGACCCUCAAAAAGGACGAAGAAUUGGGAGGCUUCUUACCAUCUGAGGGGGAAAAAUAGGAAUCUCAAGCAAAAUUCAUCUGGUUUGAGAAUAAAGACAAAACAUGUCACGCCUGUGACUGGAAGUGUGCAUUUUUCAGAGGGGGCAUCUGGACAGAAGUGAUCCAGAGCUGCCUGCAUUACAGGCGACUGGCAAGGCUCGCAAAGCACGGCAGGUCCUUGGGAUCAGGAGAAAAGUCAUGGAGGGCAUAGCUAUUCUCCUUGCAGCUCCUUCUGCAUGGCCACAGUGGCUGUUAUGAGUGAUCUGUGAAAAAGAAGCCCGGAAGGAAACCUGCAGAGAGAUGUGUAAUGAAACAGAAUAAUGUUCAUGGCACAAACUUACCUAAAAAUCAGUCGAAACUCUACAAACCGAUCUCUAUACAUCCCUGUCCCGUACUGUGUGAAGGAACCUCUGUUGUUACCAAGAACAGAAAACUUGAAAUCAUCCAGAACUCCUUAUGUUCACCACAGCUGAAACAACUGCAGAUGGCAAUGCUGAACUGAACAAACUAUAAUAUAGGGAAAAGCAAAGAAGAUACCUCACCUUGGUAAGCAGAGGUUAUAUCUGACCUGGUGCCGGCCCAUUCACAGAGGACACGCUCUCUGUUUAAAAGACAGGUUAAGCUAGCAGAGGACCAUUAGUGUUUCAUGGUGAUCUAUCCAGGGCUGUUUUCUGGAGGUGUGAGAUGAGGCUUCCCUGCUGCAGCCCUGACCACAGGUGACAGCUGAGGGCAAAGACACUUUCCAGAGUGCGGGCUUUUAUGUCUUUGGACAAAUAAAAAUGAGUAGCUACCAACCGUAACAACUGUCAGCACUUGUGCCUUCCUUGACAGUGAAGUGAAAAUCAAACAAA